rnacentral:tRNA from 1 species
CAAAAACAAAAACAAAAACAAAUACGUCCUCGUAGCUUAAACCAAAGCAUGACACUGAAGAUGUCAAGA